UAUUCCUUUCCAGAUUUUCUUACGUUGGGGUAUGUGGCGCUUAAUUUAAAAAUAAAUCAUACAUUAGUUUGUACAUCUCUACUAACUAAUUGCACAUUAAAUCACCGAUCAACCACUAAUCGACUGCCGCCUAUUUAUAUUAGCAUAAGUCCCUGCGAAUUCGACAAUUUGCACACAACCUAAAUAUAAUCAUCGUA